rnacentral:rRNA from 1 species
UACGUAGGGGGCAAGCGUUGUCCGGAUUUAUUGGGCGUAAAGAGCUCGUAGGCGGCUUGUCGCGUCGAAUGUGAAAACUCGGGGCUCAACUCCGAGCUUGCAUUCGAUACGGGCAGGCUAGAGUUCGGUAGGGGAGACUGGAAUUCCUGGUGGUAGCGGGUGAAAUGCGCAGAUAUCAGGAGGAACACCGGUGGCGAAGGCGGGUCUCUGGGCCGAUGACUGACGUGAGGAGCGAAAGCGUGGGGAGCGAACAGG